rnacentral:rRNA from 1 species
UACGUAGGUGGCAAGCGUUGUCCGGAUUUACUGGGCGUAAAGAGCGCGCAGGCGGUCGAUCAAGUCGCGUGUGAAAGCCCCCGGCUCAACUGGGGAGGGUCACGCGAUACUGAUCGACUCGAAGGCAGGAGAGGGUAGUGGAAUUCCCGGUGUAGUGGUGAAAUGCGUAGAUAUCGGGAGGAACACCAGUGGCGAAGGCGAGCUACCUGGCCUGGUCUUGACGCUGAGGCGCGAAAGCUAGGGGAGCAAGCGGG